rnacentral:rRNA from 1 species
AUUGAACGCUGGCGGCAGGCCUAACACAUGCAAGUCGAACGGUAACAGGAAGAGGCUUGCUUCUUUGCUGACGAGUGGCGGACGGGUGAGUCAUGUCUGGGAAACUGCCUGAUGGAGGGGGAUAACUACUGGAAACGGUAGCUAAUACCGCAUAACUUUGCAAGACCAAAAAGGGGGACUUUCGGGCCUCUUUCCAUCGGAUUUGCCCAGAUGGGAUUAGCUAGUAGGUGGGGUAACGGCUCACCGAGGCGACGAUCCCUAGCUGGUCUGAGAGGGUGACCAGCCACACUGGAACUGAGACACGGUCCAGACUCCUACGGGAGGCAGCAGUGGGGAAUCUUGCGCAAUGGGCGCAAGCCUGAUGGAGCCACGCCGCGUGUAUGAAGAAGGCCUUCGGGUUGUAAAGUACUUUCAGCGGGGAGGAAGGGAGUAAAGUUAAUCCCUGUGCACAUUGACGUUACCCGAAGAAGAAGCACCGGCUAACUCCGUG